rnacentral:rRNA from 1 species
UGCGUAGGUGGCCAUAUUAGUCGUUCGUUAAAAACCCGGGCUCAACCCGGGGAAUGCGGGCGAAACGGUAUGACUCGAGAGCGUGAGAGGUACAGGGAACUCUAGGUGUAGGGGUGAAAUCCGUUGAUAUCUAGGGGAACACCGAAAGCGAAGGCACUGUACUGGCGCGUUUCUGACACUGACAGCACGAAAGCGUGGGUAGCGAACG